GCCUUGACUGGUAUGGCUCAGUUGGUUGAGCAUUGGCCUGCAAAGCAAAAGGUCCCUGGUUCAAUUCCUGGUCAGGGCA